rnacentral:lncRNA from 1 species
AUGGCACCCACGGCAGCCUCAGAUUCUCCCCACCGCGCCCCCACCUCUGUCAGGGCCGGCUCAGGGGCUGCUGCUGAAUUCCCAUGCGAGGCUCACUCGGCGGUCAGGAAGAGGAAAGCUGCUCUGGGAAUAGCAAACUCCAGGGAGCCAGGAUUACAGGCACGUGGGGGAGGCAGCGGAGGUGGCUGUUUCACACUCUGUCACAAUGGAGGUAGCAGUUUCCUUUUGAGGGACUGGAAAUGUGACCUACUUCCUUGUAACAAGGAUGCUGCGUCAGCACUUGGAUGGAAAACACAGGUGAAGGAUGUGCUCCUCCCCAGACAGAACAAGAAAGAAAAAGAACAUCAAAAAUCCCACCCGCAAUCUCCCAAUACCUGGGAGGAUUUGGCUUCCUGAAGGUGGUGUCCAAGGUACCCAGUGGAUACGUAAAGAGACAGCCAGUUUCUGUGCUGUCCUGAGCACUCUGAACUCCUUUCCAUCGCAGGGAACAAGGGGCUGACAUGGUAAAGCUUCCCAGUUGUAAAUUCUAGAAUUGAAAACCCCUGAGACCCCUUCAUUCCUCCCUCACCACAAUCAGGUCGCACCUGAUAAAGCCUGAAAACCAACAAAAAAAAGUGGCAUUUGGGUAAAUAGGGUUGUCAAACUAAGCAAAUACAAAUAUAGGACACCCAGUUACAUUUGAAUUUCAGAUAAACAAGGAAAAAAAAUUUUUUUGACACAGGGUUUCAUUCUUGUCACUCAGGCUGGAGUGCAGUGGCAUGAACACAGUUCACUGCAACCUCCACCUCCUGGGGCCAAAGAAUCCUCUUGCCUCAGCCUCCCAAGUAGCCAGGACCACAGGCUCAUGCCUGGCUAAUUAGGAAAAUUUUUUAGUACAAGCAUAUCCCAUGCAAUAUUUGAGACGUACUUAUGCAAAAAAAAAAAAGUGUUUAUCAGAAAUUCAAAUGUGGCUAGGCUCACGCCUGUAAUCCCAGCACUUUGGGAGGCCGAGGCAGGUGGGUCACCUGAGGUCAGGAGUUCGAGACCAGCUGGCCAACAUGGUGAAACCCCGUCUCUACUAGAAAUGCAAAAAUUAGCCAGGCCUGGUGGCAGGCUCCUGUAAUCCCAGCUACUUGGGAGGCUGAGGCAGAAGAAUUACUUGAACCUGGGAGGCGAGGUUGCAGUGAGCCGAGAUGGCACCAAUGCACUCCAGCCUGGGUGACAGAGCAAAACUCCAUCUCAAAAAAAUAAAUUAAAUAAAAACAUGUAACUGAGCAUCCUGCAUUUCAUCUAGCAAUCCUUGUCUAAGAAGCAUCCACCCCAUCUGUGGGGCUGGGGUGUGUUUUAUUUGCCCUCGCUCUUGAGCCAAAGUCUCAGAAAUAAAAAAGGGCUCGUAGGCCUCACAUAUUUUUUUUUGCCUGGUGGAACUCUGGGCCCAACCCAGUAUCUUCCUGCAUGGAGUCCAGCUGCAGCAGAGAGUGCUGCAUCUAUGGGCCAGACCCUGGGGUGCCCUUUCUAGAUAAAGAAUCCAGAGUUCCGAGAAGGAAAGUGACGAGCCUAGAACCACCAAGACGGUCAGUGGCAGAGCCAGGACUGGAAGACUGCUGCAGCAGUAUUUAGUUCGCAUUGUGCUUACCUGGGGAGCUCUGACAAUCCCAUUUCCCAGGCUGCACCCAGACCAAUUAAAUCAGAACCUCUGGGGGUGGCACCCAGGAGUUAGGAUUUCUUAAGGGCCCCCAGGUGCUGCCACGGUUGUGCUCAUGAUCCCUUUUGCAUCCCCUUUGCGUAGGUGUAUAUUCUCCCUUCCUUCCUCCCUCCUUGCUUGGGAACCUUGGGUGUCAAGUUCUUCGGACUCCUCUGUCCAGGGGCCAUGUAGACCCUGUCUCUUGCUUUAACUGUUUUGCUUCAUCCUCAAUCCCCACUCCUUUUCAUGCCUUCUCCUGACCAGAUAGGCAUCACUCUGAUUCAUAAUCCCAAGAAUGUAUCUUUUGGAGUCUCGCUCUGUUGCCCAGGCUGGAGAGCAAUGGUGCGAUCUUGGCUCACUGCAACCUCUGCCUCCUGGGUUCAAGCUAUUCUUCUGCCUCAGCCUCCCGAGUAGCUGGGAUUAUAGGCAUCUGCCACCACGCCCGGCUAAUUUUUGUAUUUUUAGUAGAGACGGGGUUUCUACUGGGUACCUGUUGGUCAGGUUGGUCUCCAACUCCUGACCUCAGGUGAUCCGCCUGCCUCGGCCUCCAAAGUGCUGGGAUUACAGGCAUGAGCCACCACGCCCGGCCAAAUGUAUCUUUUAAAAACAGGUAGAUUUGUUUUAUAUGCAUAUAUGGAUGGUAUUGUGCUAAGGAUCUUAUUCUGUUUUUCUUUU